rnacentral:rRNA from 1 species
UACGUAGGGUGCGAGCGUUGUCCGGAAUUAUUGGGCGUAAAGGGCUCGUAGGCGGUUUGUCGCGUCGGGAGUGAAAUCCACUGGCUUAACUGGUGGCUUGCUUUCGAUACGGGCAGACUGGAGGUAUGCAGGGGGAGAACGAAUUCCUGGUGUAGCGGUGAAAUGCGCAGAUAUCAGGAAGAACACCUAUGGCGAAGGCAGCUCUCUGGGACGGUACUGACGCUGAGGCACGAAAGCGUGGGGAGCAAACAGG